rnacentral:rRNA from 1 species
CCCUUAGAUGUCCUGGGCUGCACGCGCGCUACACUGAUGUGUCCAGUAAGCACCUAACCUCUUCCGAAAGGAACGGGUAACCUUUGCAAAGCACAUCGUGAUGGGGAUAGAUUAUUGCAUUUAUUAGUCUUGAACGAGGAAUUCCUAGUAAGCACAAGUCAUCAGCUUGUGUUGAUUACGUCCCUGCCCUUUGUACACACCGCCCGUCGCUCCUACCGAUUGAAUGUUCCGGUGAGCUCUUCGGACUGCGCGGUCUGCAGUUUCUGCGUUCCGUGCGGAAAGUUGCGCAAACCUUAACAUUUAGAGGAAGGAGAAGUCGUAACA